rnacentral:tRNA from 1 species
GCAUCGGUGGUUCAGUGGUAGAAUGCUCGCCUGCCACAGGUUCGAUUCCCAGCCGAUGCA